rnacentral:rRNA from 1 species
CCUACGUGUGGCAGCAGUGAGGAAUAUUGGUCAAUGGCCGGAAGGCUGAACCAGCCAAGCCGCGUGAAGGACGAAGGUGCCAAGCAUUGUAAACUUCUUUUGUCAAGGGACAAAAUCAGGCUCGAGAGCCUGACCGAGGGUACUUGAAUAAAAAGCCUCGGCUAACUCCGUGCCAGCGGCCGCGGUACUACGGAGGAUGCGAGCGUUAUCCGGAUUUAUGGGGUUUAAAGGGUGCGUAGGCGGACUGUUAAGUCAGCGGUAAAAGCACGGGGCUCAACCCCGGCGAGCCGUUGAAACUGGCUGUCGUGAGAUGUCGAGAGGUAUGCGGAAUGCGCGGUGUAGCGGUGAAAUGCUUAGAUAUUGCGAAGAACUCCGAUUGCGAAGGCAGCAUACCGGCGGCGAUCUGACGCUGAGGCACGAAAGCGUGGGUAUCGAACAGGAUUAGAUACCCCAGUAGUC